GCCUGGGUGGUUCAGUCGGUUGAGCGCCUGACUUUGGCUCAGGUCAUAAUCUCACAGCUCUGUGGGUUCGAGCCCCACAUUGGGCU
rfam:Felis catus isolate Cinnamon breed Abyssinian chromosome B1, whole genome shotgun sequence.